GCUGCGCCUAGCCCGACGGGGCGAACACGGAAAGCCUUACCCGCUGGCGCAGCUUCUUCUUCAAGG
rnacentral:sRNA from 1 species